ACGGCAGAAGCUGUCCACUCGUCUGCGCUACUACUCCUACAGUCUACAGUACUAUUGUAGCCUUGAUUAGUUCCGAAAAGAUUUUGGAUUUCGAUACCGUAUCAUUUUCGUUUUUAUUUGGCAAAUAUUAUCCAAUUAUGAACUAACUAGUCUCAAAAGAUUUAUCUUAUGAUUUUCAGUUAAACUGCACAAUUAGUUUUUAUUUUCGUCUAU
rnacentral:lncRNA from 1 species